AAAUUGAAGAGUUUGAUCAUGGCUCAGAUUGAACGCUGGCGGCAGGCCUAACACAUGCAAGUCGAACGGUAACAGAAAGCAGCUUGCUGCUUUGCUGACGAGUGGCGGACGGGUGAGUAAUGUCUGGGAAACUGCCUGAUGGAGGGGGAUAACUACUGGAAACGGUAGCUAAUACCGCAUAAUGUCGCAAGACCAAAGAGGGGGACCUUCGGGCCUCUUGCCAUCGGAUGUGCCCAGAUGGGAUUAGCUUGUUGGUGGGGUAACGGCUCACCAAGGCGACGAUCCCUAGCUGGUCUGAGAGGAUGACCAGCCACACUGGAACUGAGACACGGUCCAGACUCCUACGGGAGGCAGCAGUGGGGAAUAUUGCACAAUGGGCGCAAGCCUGAUGCAGCCAUGC
rnacentral:rRNA from 1 species